rnacentral:rRNA from 1 species
GCAGCAGUCGGGAAUUUUGCCCAAUGGACGAAAGUCUGAGGCAGCAACUCCGCGUGAGGGAUGAAGGCCUUCGGGUCGUAAACCUCUUUUCCCAGGGAAGAUCCAAGACGGUACCUGGGGAAUAAGCCACGGCUAACUACGUGCCAGCAGCCGCGGUAAUACGUAGGUGGCGAGCGUUGUCCGGAUUUACUGGGCGUAAAGCGCGCGCAGGCGGCUGGCCAAGUCCGAUGUGAAAGCUUCCGGCUCAACUGGAAAACGGCAUUGGAUACUGGUCGGCUGGAAGGUGGGAGAGGGUAGCGGAAUUCCCGGUGUAGUGGUGAAAUGCGUAGAUAUCGGGAGGAACACCAGUGGCGAAAGCGGCUACCUGGCCCACUCUUGACGCUGAGGCGCGAAAGCUAGGGGAGCAAACGGGAUUAGAUACCCCGGUAGUCCUAGCCGUAAACGAUGAACACUAGGCGUUGUCGGUAUCGACCCCGGCAGUGCCGAAGCUAACGCAUUAAGUGUUCCGCCUGGGGAGUACGGCCGCAAGGCUAAAACUCAAAGGAAUUGACGGGGGCCCGCACAAGCAGCGGAGCGUGUGGUUCAAUUCGUCGAAACGCGAAGAACCUUACCAGGGCUUGACAUGUAUCGGUACGCGGCGGAAACGUCGCCGACCUGAAAGGGACCGAUAUGCAGGUGUUGCAUGGCUGUCGUCAGCUCGUGUCGUGAGAUGUUGGGUUAAGUCCCGCAACGAGCGCAACCCCCGUGGCAUGUUGUAUCACUCAUGCCAGACUGCCGAGAGAAACUCGGAGGAAGGUGGGGAUGACGUCAAGUCAGCAUGGCCCUUACGUCCUGGGCUACACACACGCUACAAUGGCCGGUACAACGGGUUGCCAAACCGCGAGGUGGAGCUAAUCCCUCAAAACCGGUCUCAGUUCGGAUUGCAGGCUGCAACUCGCYUGCAUGAAGCCGGAGUUGCUAGUAACCG